CUUUGAGGCCUUUGUCUUAUUUUGAAAACAUUUCUGCAAUUACUAACAGACUUCAAUGAAGUUCAAAUGCAGCAAAAUUAACUUCAGGAGGAGUUUUUUUUUUCUUGCAUUAUAUUCAACGGGGCACUGUUGGUAAUAUUUAGCUCUGUAAACGGUGUGAGACAGACUUUAAGGCUCGGAAGAAGUAGAUCCUCAAACUGAUCGGUUCAUCUUCUGCAGAUUUCCUCCACAUUAAUUUAAUCAAUUAUGUAUACAACUGCAAUCUGCAGGCUAUCACAGAACAGAGACACACCCAACAAUUUAGAGAUUCAGACUGAUCGGCAUACAAACAGCUCUUUGAGGGCUAAUCAUACAAUUGGAUUCUCCGGUCUAGUUAAAUAAGAGUCAGUUUCUCAUGACAGCGUCUAGAUGAUUGAUUCCAAAUAUGUCAACGGUGUUUUUAAAGCAUUUUUUUCUGCAAAAAACAAGUAAUAUCACCUUUAAGUAGACAAUCAUCGGCCUGUGUAUCUAAACUAUUUCACCACGUCACCUCCACUAUACCACUGCCCCCCAGUGGCUGGACAUGACCACCAGCGGUGAAUACACCAGUGAGGGGGAUGGGGAGGGGACUGACAACGCGUGAAACUGUCUCCCGAUUGUUGUCACAUUUUCAGGUGACUCACCCUGAGCGAGGCUGUGGACAUCAAAUGCAUCGCUGGCGUUACAGCACAUCGGCGGUGACAGAUUCUCACAUGGUAGCAGCAAAAAUCUCUGCCUGGCUGACUGACGUCUCUCGGUGGAUGUCUGCACGCCACCUGCAAAUGAACCCUGACGAGAAUGAACUACUUUCCCUUCCAUGGGGACGGCUCUCGCACCCACGACCCAUCACCUUUGAGAACUCCUGCACUGACACUCGAUAGUCAACACAUUUUCUUCAGCAAAGGACAGGCCCACACACGUAUAUAUACACGUCUGCAUGCAAUACACGCCAAGUGCACAUACAUCACAUGCAGCACGUAAUAAGGAUACAUAAAGUGAUACAUGCAAUACAAAAUACAAGUAAUGAAUAAAGCUUAAAUAAUUCUGCACUUACUGUUUGAGUUCCUGUCAGUUGUGUCUCUUACUUCAGUUGCUCGCCGCUGCUUGGUAAGACUUUUCUAUAAGACACAAUAUUGGACAAAACGUUUAGACGGGGUAGACACACUCUGGAUGAAGGAAUUACUCACCACCAGCUCAGUUAAGAUCUCAAUAAGUCUGAUUUGGGUUUUUUUAAAAAGCUAGUAGAGCAGGUGGGUUGAGAACCUGGGGUACCCACAUGCCUCUGGAUGAAAGACAAACACAACUGGAGGGAACAGAGUUUACCGGUACAUCGUUACUAAUGCGGAGAUCACAACAAAAUUCCUCCUAAUUGAUAUGAAUAAUCUAACCAUGGAAAGGAUGCAUUGCUUCAGCACAAAUACUUUUGGGACAGACUUAAAUUAUGGAAUGUAAAACCCUGUAUGUCUGCGGUAGGAUAAAAAAAAAAAAAUGUAGCAUUGCAAACUCAAUACAAAUCAACCGAGCAAAUGUUCCCAAAAAGGCCGGAGUGUGGACAUGAUUUCCGUGUUCAACGUCAAUCCAAAAGCUAUUUGUCAGAUGGUUUUCUAAUGACAUGCGCAAAGUGUAAAAGCUGCCAAUGACAACAGAGUGGCUCUCACUGUUUACUCUGAAUCUGUGCCUGCACCAUCAACCUGAGGAAGGAACGGUGUUCUUACGAAGGGCCCCAAUCCUGCUUGUCAUUCAUUUACAGCUUAACUUCUGAUGAAAAAAUGAUGUGAUAACAUGUGCCAGUAUUUUAAAGCGCCCCGAAACAGUCAAAUACUUCAGGAAUCAGAUUUACUGAAUAGAAGACAGCGGGAUUAUGAGAUUUGGAAACCAGUAAGGAAGGCAUUGACACAGCUGCUUGUGAGAGCCUGCGAGGACCUUUGAAUCGGAUUGGUUUGAGGAACAUAAAAUGUAUCACCCCUGAAUGCAGCCAAGUGGGAUAUAUAUUCAUGGAAUUGCUGACAACGACUUCUGUUGCGGAACAACUCCAUUCCAACAGGGCUCAGCCCAGCUGGAUAUGGACAAUCUGAGAUUUAUCUCUGAUUAAGUUUGAGAAAAUGGAAUAAAAGCGUAAAAAAGCCCCAAAAAAGGUUUGAAAAAAAAAAAAGUUAUUUGAAAUAGUAAAACCAUAUCAUCACCAACGUAUCAGUCUUACCUAAAAACCAUCCUCUGCUUGCAGUGUUACGAGCUCUCGAGGAGAGGGAUCCGCUCUAAAGACAAAACGUACAUCUCUGCAAAGCAAGGAGGACAUUACGCUGUCACGAUGUUCACCAGGGGACAUCGGCUUCUCAAUCCCCGAGAUGAGGAGAAAGCUACAACGGACAAGCCACAGCCUGCAUGUAGGUUCAGAAGAGGACGAG
ensembl:lncRNA